UACGGGGGAUGCAAGUGUUAUCCGGAAUCACUGGGCGUAAAGCGUCUGUAGGUGGUCAAGUAAGUCAACUGUUAAAUCUUGAGGCUCAACCUCAAAAUCGCAGUCGAAACUAUUAGACUAGAGUAUAGUAGGGGUAAAGGGAAUUUCCAGUGGAGCGGUGAAAUGCGUAGAUAUUGGAAAGAACACCGAUGGCGAAGGCGCUUUACUGGGCUAUUACUAACACUCAGAGACGAAAGCUAGGGGAGCAAACAGG
rnacentral:rRNA from 1 species